CCCCUGACCGGAUGACUGGCUUUAAUCCAGGGCCAUGGAACCAUCAUCCCGGCCUCUCCUUUUGGUGUGUACCAGGAAAGCGGUUUGCAACUUACUAAUCCAUAUUCCUUGCGGAAAACAUGUGGUAGUACAAGGAAGGAAAUGGGAGGAACUGGACCGAUACGGUUUGACACUGUAGUCAUAUAGUCUGGCAUAAGACUGGCAUGCUACAACACUGCCAUCUUACCCAUCCUCAUGCCAACACAUGGCCAUUCAUACUCACAUCCAUCCACCUAUGGAUCAUCGAGCUCACUUACCUCAACAAUGCAUGAAAAUAACGUUCAUCGGUAUGCUCAUCAACAUGCCAUGAAACCAACUAAAUGCAAAACAUACCAAGACACUCAUCAUAUCAAAAGUUCAAACAUGCUUGGCUGGCUCAAAGUAGUCGGAUCCUAGCUCGGUGAAGUUCGCGGCUCCGUCACCUCCUUCGGUAUCUACGGUAUAAAGAAAACACACGCGCUAACGUAAAUGCCGAGAGGUGCACAAAAAUUAUUCCAAAUAUUUUUCAAAUAAAUCUGAUAAAAAACUAGACAAAAUUUUAAAGAGAACAGAAAAAGAAUCAAUCAAAAUUACUUUUCUAUUUAAAAGUUAUAAGGGUUUUUGUCCAGGGACUCAUCUGUAAUGAAACAGAAAGUUUCCAGGGGCUAGCUCAUAAAAACAGAAAGCGAUUCGAUAGAGAAUACGCCAGCCCAGGAGGAAAGCGCAUUUGGCAGAAUACGCUUCCAGAAAACGGUUCGUUUAGAAAAGGACAGAGAGGCUGACGGGCAGGUCCCACCCGUCAGGUUUAAAAAUUCAAAAGGGCGGCAGAGGACGACGGUGCCCGAGAGCCGCGGUGGUCGCCGGCGGCGAUCCACGGCGAGGUAGGGGGAUCGGAGGGUACCUCCGUGUUCAGGGCGCCCUUCCGCGUCGGUUGGUGGUGGUGGUGGUCGCCGGCGAGUACCACGUCGACGGCGAGCCUUGCUCCGGUGGACGGCGGCUCGGGUGGAGAUGGAUCUCGUCGGGGAGAGCUGCGAAGGUCAAAUUGACGCUUGGGUUAGCUCACUGGGUGCUCGAGGAUGCUACUGACAAAGUUUAGGCGCCGGAGAUGGCCUCACCGGAGCGAAUCGAGGUGGAGGCCGAGGNNNNNNNNNNGGCGAUGGAUUACGGCGGCGCAGUGCUUGGUCGGGGAGUUUAGGAGGUUGGGCAUCAAUGUGGGGGUCCAUUGGUUCCAUUCAAACGCUAAACGGACUUGGAUUAGAAGCUUAGGGCAGUUUUGGUCGGAACGGGAUGGCGCGGGUCCGUCGGCGGCAGAGAGCGUGUUCUGUGCUUGCCGGGCCACGGUGACUGUGCUGCGGGGUUGCGCUGGCGUGCAUGAGGUCACGCAGAGAGCCAGGGGGUGUUGGGCGGCGCCGAACGGCGUUGAGCCGCCGUUUUGCUCCCUGUCGGCUGCUACGGUGGUUCGGCCGCCGCAAGACACGCCAGCGCAGGCGGGCCAGGGCGCCACCGAUGCCAGGAAGGCGCCAAGCGCGCGUGCGGUGCUCCACAUAGGAGGAAGAGGCGGCGAGGAACGUGCCAAGGGCACUGUCUACGCGUGACUGAAGCGGCCGAAGAGAAACGACACUGGAAUCUGAAUAUUUACUGAAUUUACUGAAAGUGCAAGGAACAGUGCAUGCAAGGUGUUCGACAGAAUGAUACUGGCCUCUAGGGAUUUUUCCUUGAGCUGAUUUUUGGUGGAGUGGCUACUCAUUGCUCCAGUAGGAUGCCUGAAUUUUGUUGGAAUUUUUGGAGAAGUAUAGAUAUGAAUUUCACCAAAUUUGGCAAAUCUGGUCCAAACUUGGAGAGGCUGAAAUUUGAAAAAUUUGAAAAGAGGAGGAGUGGAUCAAGAUGGUUCUAGGUUGUGGAUGCUAAGGACAAUCCAGAGGAGUUGGUUUGAGGUCAAAACUCAAAUGAAAUAGGGUACUUGCUUUGAAAAACACUCAGCUCCAAAAAUUGACAGAAAUGAUUUGAGAGGAAAAAUAAUUAGAAUAAAAUCCAAAAACUUGUUUGGAUUAGUUGGGACAGAGAACUUAGGUUGAUUACAAGGAGGAGGAAAGGAUUUUGAGAGGUUUUACCCCAUGGGCAAAAAUACAAGGUCAUGGGGGGGGGGGUUCAAGAUAUGAAAAUCCCCAAUUUUCAUAGAGUUUCUUUUUAAAAGAAAAAGACUAAACUCCCAAUAAAAUAAUUUGAGAAGGGGAACCAUCAGAGGAAGUUUUGAAUGAUCAAACACCAUAGUUUGAGGAAAAAUAAAAAUCCUUACCAAAGAAAAGGAAGUUUUUAAGAGGAAGGAUUUCUAGAAAAGAAAUUUUAAAUGCUCUCUUUUAAAACCCAACAAAGUUUUUGAAGAAAACCAAAUUAAAAAUUUUGGAGUGUCACAACACCUACCCACUUAGGAAAAAUCUCGUCCCCGAGAUUUCAGCUGUCCCUCAAAUAAGUGUGGAUGCUCUGUCUGAAGAAAAUCCUCCCUUUCCCAAGUUGCUUCACUGUCGGUGUGAUUGCUCCACUGGACUCUGAAGAAUUUGAUGGUCUUCUGUCGGGUCCUCCUUUCAGACUCCUCUAAUAUUCUUACUAGACGUUCCCGAUAAGUGAGGUCUGGUUGCACGUCAAUGCUCUCAUGGGAUACUUGUUUCUCUGGGUUGCUUACGCACUUCCUCAAUUGCGAGACGUGGAACACGUCGUGGACAUCGGAUAAUUCCUCGGGUAAGUCUAGCUGGUAGGCUACCAUGCCUCUUCGCGCCAUUAUACAGAAUGGUCCAAUGAAUCUUGGUGCUAGCUUCCCUUUAAUCUUGAAUCGUUGCAAUCCUCUCAUAGGAGAUACUCUCAGGUAUACGAACUCACCGGGCUUGAAACUGACCCUACGAUGUUUCUGAUCAUAAUAACUCUUCUCUCGACUUUGAGCGGUCUUAAGUCGGUCUCUGAUUAGCUUGACUUUUUCCUCGGCUUCUCUGAGCAUGUCUGGUCCGAAGAUGCGGCUGUCUCCGGUCCCUGACCAAUUCAACGGGGUACGACAUCUCCGUCCGUAUAAAGCCUCAAAUGGUGCCAUUUGCAGGCUGGCCUGGUAGCUAUUGUUGUACGCGAACUCAGCGUAUGGCAGGCUUUCUUCCCAACUGGUUCCAUAUGUGAGGACACAUGCCCUCAGCAUGUCUUCUAAAACCUGGUUUACGCGUUCCGUUUGUCCAUCAGUCUGUGGGUGGUAUGCUGUACUGAAGGCUAGUUGAGUUCCCAGAGCCUGUUGUAAAUGCUCCCAAAAUCUCGAGACGAAUUGAGUGGCCCUGUCGGAUAUUAUGGUCUUCGGGACACCGUGCAGACAAACUAUACGGGAGAGAUAGAUCCUGGCAAGCCUCUGAGCGUUGUAGGUUGUCUUCACUGGAAUGAAAUGUGCCACUUUGGUUAAUCUGUCGGUGAUGACCCAUAUGGUAUCAUUCCCAUGUCGUGAUCGAGGUAGUCCGACAAUGAAAUCCAUCCCUAUUUCAUCCCAUUUCCACUCAGGUAUUUUGUUCGGUUGCAGUAGUCCGGCUGGCCUCUGAUGCUCAGCUUUUAUGCGUUGACAAGAGUCGCAACAUGCAAUGAAGGUGGCUAUGUCCCUCUUCAUACCGUGCCACCAAAAUCUUUCCUGAAUAUCUUUAUACAUCUUGGUUCCUCUAGGGUGGAUCGAGUACGGGGCGGUGUGGGCUUCAGCUAGGAUUUGCUGUUUGAGGUCCUUCAUAUCUGGUACGCAGAGUCUGUCUCCGUACCAUAAUAUUCCUUCAUCGUCUAUGACGAAUGCCGAGGCCUUGCCCAUACUUACCUUUCUUUUGAUGCCUUCGAUGCUGGGGUGACCCGGCUGAGCUUCUUUAAUUCCCUCCACAAGGUCGGGUUGUAUUUCCAAGUUUGAUAUGGUGCCUUUUGCUACCAUUAUCAAGUUGAGUUUGGCAAAUUCUUGUUGGAAUUCGGGCCUCAAGCUUUGCAGACUGUUUUCGUCGGAGCUGGGGUUCCGACUAAGAGCAUCGGCCACUACAUUUGCUUUACCUGGAUGGUAGUGGAUACCAACAUCAUAAUCCUUUACCAAUUCCAACCAGCAUCAUUGCCGUAAAUUUAGUUCUGGCUGCGUGAAAAUAUAUUUGAGACUUUUGUGAUCCGUAUAUAUUUCACAUUGAUUCCCAAGUAAGAAAUGCCUCCAUUCCUUGAGUGCAUGAAUGACUGCUGCCAUUUCCAAGUCAUGAGUGGGAUAAAUUUCCUCAUACUUGCGAAGUUGCCUUGAAGCAUAGGCAACAACCUUGCCUUCUUGCAUCAACACGCAUCCGAGACCCUUUCUGGACGCGUCACAAAACACUUCAAAAUUUUUGUGUAUGUCUGGCACAAUUAAUACUGGUGCUGUUGUUAAUUUCCGCUUUAGCUCUUGGAAACUUUUUUCGCAGGCUUCUGUCCAUUCAAACUUCUUGUCUUUCUUGAGUAACAGCGUCAUAGGCUUGGCUAUGGUGGAGAAUCCUUCAAUAAAUCUGCGGUAAUAUCCUGCCAUUCCCAAGAAACUACGUAUGUCUGUUACGCUCGCUGGCGACUUCCAGCCAAGUAUGGCCUUGACUUUCUCUGGGUCCACUGCGAUACCGUCUUGGGUUAGUAUGUGGCCUAGAAAGCCUACUUGCCUUAGCCAAAAUUCGCACUUGCUGAACUUGGCAUACAAUUGGUGUUUCCUGAGUUCUCCUAGCACAAUCCUGAGAUGUUCUGCGUGCUCUUCUGGUGUCUUGGAGUAUACCAGAAUGUCGUCGAUGAAUACCACAACGAACUUGUCCAUUAUCUUCAUAAAUACUUUGUUCAUGAGGUGAACAAAAUAUGCAGGGGCAUUAGUUAAUCCAAAUGGCAUUACUGUGAACUCAUACAGUCCAUAUCUGGAGGUGAAGGCUGUUUUGGGGAUAUCUUCCAUUCGCACCUUUAAUUGAUGGUAUCCAGACCUUAAGUCAAUUUUUGAGAAUACCUUGGCCUGAGCGAGUUGAUCAAACAAAUCAUUUAUCCUUGGCAUCGGGUAUUUGUUCUUGACUGUGACCAUGUUAAGUGCUCGAUAGUCGAUACACAAUCUCAGUGUUCCAUCCUUCUUUUUGGCAAAUAGAAUUGGUGAUCCCCAAGGUGAGGAGCUGGCCCGAAUGUAUCCUUUGUCCAGCAAUUGUUUUAUUUGUUUCUUCAAUUCAACCAACUCGGAUGGUGCCAUUCGGUAUGGUUUCUUGUAUAUGGGGGUGGUUCCUGGUGCGUGCUCAAUGCAGAACUCUAUCUCUCGGCCUGGUGGCAUGCCUGGUAGCUCUUCAGGGAAUACGUCUGGAAAUUCACACACUACUAGAACCUUGUUUAGCUCAGAAACGUCCACCUUAUUCAAUCUUGGUUGCCGGGUUUUUUUUCCUUCCUUGGCUGACACUCUUAUUGUCUUCCCGUGGUGGUGUGUGAGGAUUACGGUCCGGUUGAAACAGUCAAUAAAACCCUUGUUGGUGGUUAGCCAGUCCAUCCCUAGGAUGACAUCUAGUCCUUUGUUUUCUAGUACAAUAAGAUUGGCGUGAAACUCCAAUCCUUUGAACUCAAUGACCACAUUCUGACAGUAAUUCUGAGUAACUUGCUGAAUCCCAGGGGACUUGAUGAUCAUGGAUUUUUCCAAAGGAAGCAUUGAAAAAUUAUUUUGCAAAGCAAAACUUUUCGAGAUGAAAGAGUGAGAAGCUCCAGAAUCAAACAAAACCAUUGCAGGUAUUGUGUUGACAGGAAACGUACUGAGUACGAUAUCCGUAGCAUUUUGUGCCUCCUCUUUGGUUACGUGGUUUAGAUGACCCUUCCUGUGGUUGUUGCUGGGAUUGAAAUUGUUUCGCUUGGGCGCUGAAUUAUUGCCGCCGUUGUUUGGCUUUGGGGUUGAGUUUCUAGGCUUGGGACACUGUUUGGCAUAGUGUCCUUCCUCUCCACAAGUGUAACAGGUAACGCCUGGGCGAUAUGUGAACUCCUUGUCCCUUGCAUGAAAAUUCUUGAUUGGGCGUGAGAUGUUGGAUGAGGAUUUGUGCGUCCCACCCUUUUCGAAAUUUGUCCUGCUUCGGUGAUUGCGAGCAUGGUUGGUCUGGUCCCUUUUUCGCUUGCGGAUAUCUUCCAGGCUGCGUCUCUCAUUUUCCAGAGUAAUCGCUUUGUCCACCAGAGUUUUAAAAUCUGGAAAAGUGUGCACGACUAGUUGGCAUUUAAGCGCGGGCGCCAGACCGUCAAGGAAUUUCUCCAUCUUCUUACUUUCAGUCAUACGCUCCUCAUUGGCGUAGCGAGACAAUAGAGUAAAUUGACCGUUGUAAUCUGCCACUGUCAUGUUCCUUUGUUUGAGGUCAUCGAACUCUCUUUUCUUGAUUUUCAUAAUGCUCUUAGGAAUGUGCGCACCACGGAAACCUUCCUUGAAAUCAUCCCAGGUUAUGUCAUUUUCGUUGGGAUGCAUGUGCAGAAAAUUCUCCCACCACGAUGCGGCUGCUCCUGUGAGAUAGUGCGGAGCAUACAAUACCUUUUCGGGGUCUGAACAUUUUGCAAUAAUUAAUUUCCUCUCCAUAUCUCGAAGCCAGUCCUCGGCUUCAAGAGGCUUGUCAGUAUGAGAAAAUGUUUGGGGACGCGUGUUUUGUAGCUCAGAUAACUUGGAAUGCUGCUGAUACUAUCCAUGGUGAUUUCCCAUGUUGAUGACUUGGUUCAUCAUUUCACGAUGUUGUUGCUGACUCUGUUCAUAAAGGCAGCACAUUUGGGAAAGUGCCAUUUCACUGCCCUGUUGACUCGACUGCCCUUGUGUGAAAUUGUUGCCUGGUUGAGUGUCAUAAUUUUCCUCUGGCGGAGUAGGCAUGGAGCGAGUCCAAGGAUGAGACAUUUUUCACUCUGGGGAUAUAUUUUGUAAAACUCAUAAGAAAAGUGAAUAUGGUCGCCAAAAACAACUCCAAAAAUGCACAAGGAUGGCAAAUAAUUUAAAUGACCAAGAUCACUUAAGAAAACAAAUUGAUUUGAGCACGGAGAAGGACUGCUCAUUACAUAUCUUACACGCGGGCGAUAAUUAUACAGUACAUCACUCAGGAUAUGCGCACAUAAUCCUGACAUGUUAUUUAGGCUAGUACACUUCUCCAGUUCUACAUGAUGCGCAAACAAGCUACUUCUCACAACCUAUGUACAUAUCUUACAAAGCGGUACAUUGCAUGACAGGCAAACGCACUCAGCCGGAAAUGUUGACGAUCUCCUUGGCCCUGCCAAGGGUGAGGCGCAGUGAGGCUGGGGACUCGACCUCCUCCUCACUAAUAGGCUCCAAACGUGAAGAGCCGCAUCGGGUAGAUGGAGCGGGUGCCAGGGGCGGAGCAACACGAAUAGGAGUGGGCACAACGGGUGGUGCAGUGUGCGCUGGAGUGGGCGCAAAGGCCUGGUUGAACCCUUCGGUGGUAGGUAGGUGACGAGUAGGUGCAUGAGAUGCUGAGGACGAGACAAAAGUCAGUGGCGGUGCGGUGAGCAGGAGCUCCCUCCUGUUGGCGGCGCAGCCAUGGACUGAGUCCAUGCGGGCAGCCACGAAGUCGUCCACCAGGUUGUCGAAGGCUGCCUCCAGAGCCCGGAGAUACUCAAUAAGCAUCUCAAAAGCCUCGUCUCGUUCUCCUCUGGGGCAGGAGAAUGCGUAGUGACAGGUGUAGGGCACAUGACAUGGAAGAUAGCGGUAGCGACGAGUCUUCAUCGCGGGAAGGACAUCCCUGAGGCGAGCUAUCGCCUCGCGGGCUGCCAUCUGCAUAGCAUGCCUCUUCGUAGGCAUGGCUCUUCCCACGAACAGGAAGCAGUGUAACUCACCACGCCCUCCCUUGAACUGCACCGUGGCCUGGUGCAUGGUCAGACUGUCGUUGACUUUGUGCUGGCGGAGUGUGAAGACUGGGCGCACGGAUGGCCCCAUCGCGACCUGAACGAUGAAGGAGAGAAGCUUGACGAACCCAUCGGGUACGUUGGCGAAGGUCUGAGACUCGCAGCUGUUGUCGGCCAUCUACAAAAGUAGGCAAAAAUCCUGAAUGGUCAGAUCAUAAAUUUAUGCUGACUGUCAGAAAAUGACUACAAUUGCAAAAAAAAAAAUCGGCUCUAUCAUGCUAAUAACCGAUUAGUGAUCGCACCUAGUGGCUUCCUACAGUCAGCCUGGCUCUGGUACCAAGCUUGUCACGACCAGUUUUCCAAUAAAAAUAAUUAUUGAAAAACCAAUCUUUUGAGUCCAGCAUGAGAGAAAUCCUCCUCACUGGUAGACAAGUUCUUGAUACAAUAAGCCAGUAGCAUAGAAUAUAUUACAGGGUUGAGCUAGGGUUGCUCAACAAAUUAUUACAAGUGCGCCAAUAAUUAUACAUAAUGGCGGGUUCAACACAAUGGUGUGGUGGCAUACUACUGACUCGAGGAUAAAGUGAUGGUGGGAUAACACGUGGGGAGUGUGAUAACAUGACUCUCAAACUGGCAUCACAUCGAGCAUCGAGGUGAGGCUCGAUGAAUGUUAUUCGAGUUGCAGAAGCGGAUAUAAUACAGUGACCAAAUCCAGGGUCGCACGAGACUGACUGGGAUUCCUCUAGGCGUCGGACUCGCUAUCGAACUCUUCAUCCAAGAGAUCGCCUUCGUCAGCAUCUGGCCAAAUCAACAAGCCAGUGAGUACUUUGAAAGUACUCGCAAGACAGUUCGGACGUAAGAUAUAACAAAUGCAUGCAUGAAUGCGUCAUGAUUAAUCUUUCCAAUGCACAUCCAAAAAUUUGCAUAACGAAGUAAGUACAAGGGAAACGGCGGUAGUCCGCCUGAAAUCCCAACAAAAUAUAAACGAAAACCGAUCGAGUGUCUGAAGCGACGCCUCGAAAGGUGAACAAAUAAUAACAGAAAAUCACGCCACAGUCGGGCGUCUUAGCGACACCACAUAAAGGGCUUUAAAAGAAAUGCCACAGUCGGACGUCUGAGCGACAUCACAGAAAGGGCUUUAAAAGAAAUGCCACUGUCGGACGUCUGAGCGACAUCACAGAAAGGGCUUUAAAAGAAAUGCCACAGUCGGACGUCUGAGCGACAUCACAGAAAGGGCUUUAAAAGAAAUGCCACAGUCGGACNNNNNNNNNNNNNNNNNNNNNNNNNNNNNNNNNNNNNNNNNNNNNNNNNNNNNNNNNNNNNNNNNNNNNNNNNNNNNNNNNNNNNNNNNNNNNNNNNNNNNNNNNNNNNNNNNNNNNNNNNNNNNNNNNNNNNNNNNNNNNNNNNNNNNNNNNNNNNNNNNNNNNNNNNNNNNNNNNNNNNNNNNNNNNNNNNNNNNNNNNNNNNNNNNNNNNNNNNNNNNNNNNNNNNNNNNNNNNNNNAAGAAAUGCCACAGUCGGUCGUCUGAGCGACAUCACAGAAAGGGCUUUAAAAGAAAUGCCACAGUCGGACAUCUGAGCGACAUCAUAGAAAGGGCUUCAAAAGAAAUGCCACAGUCGGACGUCUGAGCGACAUCGCAGAAAGGGCUUUAAAAGAAAUGCCACACUCGAACGUCUGAGCGACAUCACAGAAAGGGCUUUUAUUCACAAGUAAAUAAUACUCAUAAUAAAUAUUCAAUUCAUGAUAAUAAACGGGUUAGUCCAUCCACAGGAAUAAACAUUUAACCGGGCUUAGCACUCAUGUGAUUCACCGGAGUAUCUGUCACCAAAACUGGCACUUGUCGGAAUAAGUCAGCGCAAAAUUUGGAUAUGGAUAAGAUGAUUUGGAGAUUUAUGACUCUGCAGAGUUUGUACAAAAAUUUCCCACAGUUAACGGAUUUCCGUAGUCACGAAGGACUAGUUCCGUUUACGGUAUUUCGGAAGAAAACACAGCUAACCAGUACACACCCAUCCUAUCUCUCGAUGCCAGGACUCACCCUAGACAUCGUCCAAGAAAAACUUUGAGACGGGGAGAUCACAAUCUCGAAUGGUAUGGGAUCAAAUUUAUAUACGCGCGCUCUAAGGGGUGCCCCCCUCUCGGUCCCAACCGGAAACACCCAUGCCCCCUGACCGGAUGACUGGCUUUAAUCCAGGGCCAUGGAACCAUCAUCCCGACCUCUCCUUUUGGUGUGUACCAGGAAAGCGGUUUGCAACUUACUAAUCCAUAUUCCUUGCGGAAAACAUGUGGUAGUACAAGGAAGGAAAUGGGAGGAACUGGACCGAUACGGUUUGACACUGUAGUCAUAUAGUCUGGCAUAAGACUGGCAUGCUACAACACUGCCAUCUUACCCAUCCUCAUGCCAACACAUGGCCAUUCAUACUCACAUCCAUCCACCUAUGGAUCAUCGAGCUCACUUACCUCAACAAUGCAUGAAAAUAACGUUCAUCGGUAUGCUCAUCAACAUGCCAUGAAACCAACUAAAUGCAAAACAUACCAAGACACUCAUCAUAUCAAAAGUUCAAACAUGCUUGCCUAGUUCAGAGUAGUCGGAGCCUAGCUCGGUGAAAUUCGCGGCUCCGUCACCUCCUUCGGUAUCUAUGGUAUAAAGAAAACACACGCGCUAACGUAAAUACCGAGAGGUGCACAAAAAGUAUUCCAAAUAUUUUUCA
rnacentral:lncRNA from 1 species